rnacentral:lncRNA from 1 species
AAGCAAAGAAGCACGUUUAUCUUGAACUUUCACUUUGGCUGAUUGUUAGGGAGUCCAAUUGGGCUUGUGCAUGCUUGAAUAUGGAUGAAUGGUCGGUAGCAUUAUGCAUGUAAAGUUGGGCUGAAUGUGAGCUUUGCAUGGUUACAUGCAUGGCUUUCAUGAAAAUGAGUGUUGAGCUUGAAAAACCUAAAGCCAUGAAAAUAACAUGAAAAACACUAAAAAUUAUCCAAAAAUUUAAAUUUUUGCACCAUUUUGACUUAUAAAAUCUCUAUAUAUUUU